rnacentral:rRNA from 1 species
AGUGAACGCUGGCGGUAGGCCUAACACAUGCAAGUCGAACGGCAGCACAGGAGAGCUUGCUCUCUGGGUGGCGAGUGGCGGACGGGUGAGGAAUACAUCGGAAUCUACUCUGUCGUGGGGGAUAACGUAGGGAAACUUACGCUGAUACCGCAUACGACCUACGGGUGAAAGCAGGGGACCUUCGGGCCUUGCGCGAUUGAAUGAGCCGAUGUCGGAUUAGCUAGUUGGGGGGGUAAAGGCCCACCAAGGCGACGAUCCGUAGCUGGUCUGAGAGGAUGAUCAGCCACACUGGAACUGAGACACGGUCCAGACUCCUACGGGAGGCAGCAGUGGGGAAUGUUGGACAAUGGGCGCAAGCCUGAUCCAGCCAUACCGCGUGGGUGAAGAAGGCCUUCGGGUUGUAAAGCCCUUUUGUUGGGAAAGAAAUCCAGCUGGCUAAUACCCGGUUGGGAUGACGGUACCCAAAGAAUAAGCACCGGCUAACUUCGUGCCAGCAGCCGCGGUAA